rnacentral:rRNA from 1 species
GAGCUCAAAUUUGAAAGCUGGUACCUUCGGUAUCCGCGUUGUAACCUCGAGACACGUUUUCCGUGCGGCGCUAUGGACAAGUUCCUUGGAACAGGACAUCGUAGAGGGUGAAAAUCCCGUACUUGCCAUGGAUGUACCGUGCUUUGCGAUACGUGCUCUAAGAGUCGAGUUGUUUGGGAUUGCAGCUCAAAAUGGGUGGUAGACUCCAUCUAAAGCUAAAUAUCGGGGAGAGACCGAUAGCGAACAAGUACCGUGAGGGAAAGAUGAAAAGCACUUUGGAAAGAGAGUUAAAAGUACGUGAAAUUGUCGAAAGGGAAGCGCUUGAAGUCAGCCAUGCCGCUCAGGACUCAGCCUGGCUUUUGCUUGGUGUAUUUCCUGGGUAGCAAGUCAGCAUUGGUUUGGAUCGUCGGAGAAGCAUAGUCGGAAUGUGGCGCCCUCGGGCGUGUUAUAGCCUUCUAUUGGAUACGACGAUCUAGACCAAGGAACGCAGCGCGCCUUAUGGCGGGUCUUCG